UUUGCGCUCGACCAUUUGGGCUACCUCCUUGAGACACCAUACGCUAGAGGCAUAACCUUUCGAAAAGAUAGGAAUUGAGAUCUUUGAUUGAUUAACUGCUUCGAGAAGUUCUGGGGCAAACUCUUCCCCAACGCGGCGCUCUUCAUCUGGAAAGCUUCAGCAGCAGACGAAUGUUGAGACACACAUGGGAGUAUAGUGCAGGACAGAGGAUCCACAUCCCUAAUACUCGAAAGAGGGCAUGUCUUGAGAGAGAGUGAGAGAGUACCUACA